GCACAGAGAGAGGGCAGCAGACUCUUAGAGCACUUGUUGAGAGGAGUGGGAGCAGAGAGGCUGGCUUCGUCUCCCUCCUUUGCCC